rnacentral:rRNA from 1 species
UACGUAGGGGGCAAGCGUUGUCCGGAAUCAUUGGGCGUAAAGAGCGCGUAGGCGGCCCUGUAAGUCCGCUGUGAAAGUCAAGGGCUCAACCCUUGGAUGCCGGUGGAUACUGCCGGGCUAGAGUCCGGAAGAGGUGAGUGGAAUUCCUGGUGUAGCGGUGAAAUGCGUAGAUAUCGUAAGGAAGACCAGUGGCGAAGGCGGGUCUCUGGACAGUUCCUGACGCUGAGGCACGAAGGCCAGGGGAGCAAACGGG